GGAUAAUUGGAUUACUUUCCCCAUUGUCCAGGAUAGAGGGCUCUGUAAAUCCGGUUUGGGCCAGAAAACCAUGCUGCCAGCUAGGCCCCAAAAGAUACUUUUGCUAACUUGUGAACCCCUUGUCUGAUUUGUGCCAGUUUGUAAUAUGUUGCUCCCCUGAAUGGAUUGAUUCUAAAUAUGUAUUUUUAUGAAGAUUGGAUGUGUAGUUUGGAAGUUAUAGUACCUGUAUAAAAACUGUAUUUUUACUGUUCUGUUUUAAUUAUGUUAUGUGUUUAUCUGAGGGAUGGGAAUUUCCCCGAAUGUAUAUUGUUCCGAUUGGUUAUACUGCUAAUUAUGUGGGUGUCUCCCUUGCAUGGGCAGAAU